UCCAAGUUGAAUUAUUCAAGUGUAUUCAAGUUUAGGUCCCCAAGUUAAAAUCUUCAACUCCGUGGGUCUUCAAGUUGAAGUCUUCAAAUCUGCUGAUCUUCAAGUUAGAAUAUUUAGGCCCUUCAAGUCUCAAAGUUGAAGUCUUCAAGUCUGUCGGUCUUCAAGUUUCAGUCUUCAAAUUCGUCGGUCUUAAGUUGAAUUUUUUAAGCCCUCCGAAUCUUCGAGUUGAAGUUUGCAAAGUCCGCCAAAUCUUCAAAGCUUUCCAAGUGUUCAAGUUGAUGUCGUCUUCAAGUUGAAGCUUUAUAACUUUCCAAUCUU
rnacentral:lncRNA from 1 species